rnacentral:rRNA from 1 species
AGAGUUUUUUCCUGGCUCAGAUUGAACGCUGGCGGCAGGCCUAACACAUGCAAGUCGAGCGGUAGAGAGGAGCUUGCUCCUCUUGAGAGCGGCGGACGGGUGAGUAAUGCCUAGGAAUCUGCCUGGUAGUGGGGGAUAACGUUCGGAAACGGACGCUAAUACCGCAUACGUCCUACGGGAGAAAGCAGGGGACCUUCGGGCCUUGCGCUAUCAGAUGAGCCUAGGUCGGAUUAGCUAGUUGGUGAGGUAAUGGCUCACCAAGGCGACGAUCCGUAACUGGUCUGAGAGGAUGAUCAGUCACACUGGAACUGAGACACGGUCCAGACUCCUACGGGAGGCAGCAGUGGGGAAUAUUGGACAAUGGGCGUAAGCCUGAUCCAGCCAUGCCGCGUGUGUGAAGAAGGUCUUCGGAUUGUAAAGCACUUUAAGUUGGGAGGAAGGGCAGUAAAUUAAUACUUUGCUGUUUUGACGUUACCGACAGAAUAAGCACCGGCUAACUCUGUGCCAGCAGCCGCGGUAAUACAGAGGGUGCAAGCGUUAAUCGGAAUUACUGGGCGUAAAGCGCGCGUAGGUGGUUUGUUAAGUUGGAUGUGAAAUCCCCGGGCUCAACCUGGGAACUGCAUUCAAAACUGACUGACUAGAGUAUGGUAGAGGGUGGUGGAAUUUCCUGUGUAGCGGUGAAAUGCGUAGAUAUAGGAAGGAACACCAGUGGCGAAGGCGACCACCUGGACUAAUACUGACACUGAGGUGCGAAAGCGUGGGGAGCAAACAGGAUUAGAUACCCUGGUAGUCCACGCCGUAAA